rnacentral:tRNA from 1 species
AGUUAAUGAACUUGUAAAGUAUAUGUUUUGAAAACAUAAAAAAGAAGUAAAACCUUCUAUUAACUU